rnacentral:rRNA from 1 species
GUCUUUUUGAUAUUAAUUUAAGGUUUAACCUGCCCAAUGAAAAUUUGAAUGGCCGCGGUAUUUUGACUGUGCUAAGGUAGCAUAAUCAUUAGUUUUUUAAUUAAAAGCUGGUAUGAAGGGUUGGAUGAAAAAUUAACUGUCUCUAAUUAAUUUUAUUAGAAUUUUAUUUUUAAGUUAAAAAGCUUAAAUAUCUUUAAAAGACGAGAAGACCCUAUAGAGUUUAAUAUAUUUAAUUUAUAAAUAUUUAGAAUUUAUUUUUUAUAAUUAUUAUGUAUUUAAUUGGGGUGAUUAAAAAAUUUAAUAAACUUUUUUUAUAAAUUUAUAUUGAUUAAUAAAUUAAUGAUCCAAGAAUUUUGAUUAUAAGAUAAAUUACCUUAGGGAUAACAGCGUAAUUUUAUUAAAGAGUUCUAAUCGACAAUAAAGUUUGCGA